rnacentral:rRNA from 1 species
GACGAACGCUGGCGGCGUGCUUAACACAUGCAAGUCGAACGAAGUGGCGAACGGGUGAGUAACGCGUAAGCAACCUGCUCUUCAGGGGGGGACAACAGUUGGAAACGACUGCUAAUACCGCAUACUGAAGGAGGAGAUUGCGUGUGAUUAGCUAGUUUGAGGGGUAACGGCCCACCAAGGCGAUGAUCAGUAGCCGGUCUGGGAGGAUGAACGGCCACAUUGGGACUGAGACACGGCCCAGACUCCUACGGGAGGCAGCAGUGGGGAAUCUUCCGCCAUGGACGAAAGUCUGACGGAGCAACGCCGCGUGAGUGAUGACGGCCUUCGGGUUGUAAAGCUCUGUUAAUCGGGACGCGGUACCGGAAGAGAAAGCCACGGCUAACUACGUGCCAGCCGCCGCGGUAAUUC